rnacentral:tRNA from 1 species
GGAAGUGGAUAGGGCACUGGUGGCCCUCCCGGACUUCAAAUCCGGUGUGUCGGGUGAACAAUCCGACGGGUGGGUUCGAUUCCCAUGCACUUCCGCCA